CUUUUUCUCAUUACAUUCUUUGUUGAACAUUUUGCAGAGAUUUGAUCAAAUUUUAGGUAUACUUUUGCCUUGAGAAAGCUUCAAAAGUAACAGUUCUGCACCAAGAUAUGAAUCCACAACCUGUUGGUUUGAAAAAAUAGAUAUUAUCAUAUGGGAAGACAUAAUUUAGUUGGAGAUUUGCGGCUAUUCAGUUUUACCUUACUUAACUCGUAGAAUUAUUGCAUCACCGAUUACUCAGUAUGCAUGAAAUUAUAAACAAUUCAAGAUAUUGACAGACUGGUUUACCUCUCUUGCUUUCA